AAGACCUUGGGGUGUGAAAAUGAGAGUGUAUACACUGACUGUAUAGAAAGAAGAUGUACAGUAAAUGCACCCCAUAUACACCUCAACACAGGCCCUUUACCUGGUCUGUAUUGUGAUUUGGGAGACAAAA